CCUACGGGUGGCAGCAGUGGGGAAUAUUGCACAAUGGGCGCAAGCCUGAUGCAGCCAUGCCGCGUGUGUGAAGAAGGCCUUCGGGUUGUAAAGCACUUUCAGCGGGGAGGAAGGCGGUGAGGUUAAUAACCUCAUCGAUUGACGUUACCCGCAGAAGAAGCACCGGCUAACUCCGUGCCAGCAGCCGCGGUAAUACGGAGGGUGCAAGCGUUAAUCGGAAUUACUGGGCGUAAAGCGCACGCAGGCGGUCUGUCAAGUCGGAUGUGAAAUCCCCGGGCUCAACCUGGGAACUGCAUUCGAAACUGGCAGGCUAGAGUCUUGUAGAGGGGGGUAGAAUUCCAGGUGUAGCGGUGAAAUGCGUGGAGAUCUGGAGGAAUACCGGUGGCGAAGGCGGCCCCCUGGACAAAGACUGACGCUCAGGUGCGAAAGCGUGGGGAGCAAACAGGAUUAGAUACCCGGGUAGUC
rnacentral:rRNA from 1 species